GACUUGGAAUAUUCCUUUCUUCUCCUUCUUCCAAGUUCCAAAUAAUACAAAAUUAGGAAAUUUCCUUCAACGGCUCAUUUUGCUACUUCCCAACUCAAAGCUACUCUUCUCAGCUUACACAGAGCUAACCUGAUUUAGAAAAUGGAUUACAAAACAGCAAGCAUCAAAGUUCCUACGAGAAGAAAUGCGUCGAAGUCGUCGCUGAUUAUGUGAACCAAUCAAGUGAUUGUACAAUGACAAAGUCAACGAAACUGAAGCGGUUCGCCUACAACGAUGAUGAAUACACAGGAUCUUUUCUGCGAUAAUCGCAUUUCGAAUAGGAAAUACACUCCCCUCAAGUUCCUAAAAAUCUCAUGGAGCCGUUCAGCUUGUACAGAUCUUAAAAUCAUGUGACUAUAGGACUUUGGCAAUUGGUGAUGGUGGGAAUGAUGUGAACAUGAUACAACAAGCUGACAUUGGGGUCGGCAUUAGUGGGAGAGAAGGCCUGCUGGCAGGCAGGCAGCCAGGGCAUCUGAUUAUAGUAUUGGAAAGUUUAGGUUUCUAAAACGAUUGACACCUGUCCAUGGCUGGUAUUCUUACAACCGAACUGCAUUCCUGUCCCAGUAUUCUUUCUACAAAUCCCUGUUGAUAUGUUUCAUCAAAAUCUUGUGUCUCUGGGACCAGCCUUUUCAUUUCUGUUAGCUUGAUGGCUUGUAACGUUUUCUACACUAGCAUACCUGUUCUAGUAAGUGUCCUUGACAAAGAUCUUAGUGAAGAAACUGUAAUGCUGCAUCCGCAAAUUCACUAUUUUGUUAUCUUUUCCGGUUUAAACGAGAUAUGUUGACUAGUCUAUAGGUAACUACGGUUCCUGUCAGUCCAUAAUAUUUAAACUAAGUUUUGAUUAUUCUUGAUGCAGGCUUCUUAACCCUAGCACAUUUGCUGGAUGGUUUUGCCAGUCCCUUUUUCAUCUCAUUUAAGAUAUUGCAACAUCUUGCCAUAUGGGGGAACUUGAUUGCAUUUUAUGUCAUCAACUGGAUUAUCAGUGUCAUUCCAUCGGCGGGGGAUGUACACGAUAAAUAAUGUUCCAGUUAUGUGGUCAACCAUCUUAUUGGAUAACUAUAUUCGAAAGUUCUCUUCCAUGGCUGCCCUAUUCUUGUUCCUUCACUCCCUUUUGGUCCAAUUUGAUUGGUCACACAGAAGCCUUAGGCCCCUUCUUUAUUCCAUAACUGUCACAAAUCCAGAUGAAAAUGGUUAGAAAUUCCAAACAAUUGUGAGAUUUUAUGAGCUAGACUAGUUGGCACCUUUCAUAUCUCUCUUGGGCGCCCCCCCCCCCUCACUUACAAGUUACAAGAGACUGAUUACAGCACGGUACACGAUGUCAUGGAUGCUGCUGCUGCACUUGGGAAAAUCUUAACGUGCCAGCUCUUUUGGGAAUGCUGACAUGACAGCCUUGGUAUUCCAAAGUCCAGCAUCUCCCAAAAGUGGACUCCAAAGAGAGAACCACUUUCCAAUCUCUGUGCAGUUAUGCUGUUCGUUGGCAGAUCAAGGAUUGGAGAGUGGCAUAGUUUCUAUA